GACGAACGCUGGCGGCGUGCCUAACACAUGCAAGUCGAGCGAGUGAAUCUCCUUCGGGAGUGAAACUAGCGGCGGACGGGUGAGUAACACGUGGGCAACCUGCCUCAUAGAGGGGAAUAGCCUUUCGAAAGGAAGAUUAAUACCGCAUAAGAUUGUAGCUUCGCAUGAAGUAGCAAUUAAAGGAGUAAUCCGCUAUGAGAUGGGCCCGCGGCGCAUUAGCUAGUUGGUGAGGCAACGGCUCACCAAGGCGACGAUGCGUAGCCGACCUGAGAGGGUGAUCGGCCACAUUGGGACUGGGACACGGCCCAGACUCCUACGGGAGGAAGCAGUGGGGAAUAUUGCACAAUGGGGGAAACCCUGAUGCAGCAACGCCGCGUGAGUGAUGACGGCCUUCGGGUUGUAAAGCUCUGUCUUCAGGGACGAUAAUGACGGUACCUGAGGAGGAAGCCACGGCUAACUACGUGCCAGCCGCCGCGGUAACAC
rnacentral:rRNA from 1 species